UACGAAGGGGGCUAGCGUUGCUCGGAAUCACUGGGCGUAAAGGGUGCGUAGGCGGGUCUCUAAGUCAGGGGUGAAAUCCUGGAGCUCAACUCCAGAACUGCCUUUGAUACUGAAGAUCUUGAGUUCGGGAGAGGUGAGUGGAACUGCGAGUGUAGAGGUGAAAUUCGUAGAUAUUCGCAAGAACACCAGUGGCGAAGGCGGCUCACUGGCCCGAUACUGACGCUGAUGCACGAAAGCGUGGGGGAGCAAACAGG
rnacentral:rRNA from 1 species